rnacentral:rRNA from 1 species
AGCGAACGCUAGCGGCAGGCCUAACACAUGCAAGUCGAACGAACUCUUCGGAGUUAGUGGCGGACGGGUGAGUAACACGGGGGAAAGUGCCUUUUGGUUUGGCAUAACGCAGGGAAACUUGUGCUAAUACCGAAUGUGCUCUCCGGGGGAAAGGUUUAUCGCCAUUGGAGCUGCCCGCGUCUGAUCAGCUGGUUGGUGGGGUAACGGCUCACCACGGCGACGAUCAGUAGCUGGUCUGAGAGGAUGGCCAGCCACACUGGGACUGAGACACGGCCCAGACUCCUACGGGAGGCAGCAGUGGGGGAUCUUGCGCAGUGGGCGAAAGCCUGACGCAGCCAUGCCGCGUGAAUGAUGAAGGUCUUAAGAUUGUAAAAUUCUUUCACCGGGGACGAUAAUGACGGUACCCGGAGAAGAAGCCCCGGCUAACUUCGUG